rnacentral:rRNA from 1 species
AGUGAACGCUGGCGGUAGGCCUAACACAUGCAAGUCGAACGGCAGCACAGUAAGAGCUUGCUCUUACGGGUGGCGAGUGGCGGACGGGUGAGGACUACAUCGGAAUCUACUUUUUCGUGGGGGCUAACGUAGGGAAACUUACGCUAAUACCGCAUACGACCUACGGGUGUAAGCAGGCGAUCUUCUGACCUUGCGCGAUUGAAUGAGCCGAUGUCGGAUUAGGUAGUUGGCGGGGUAAAGGCCCACCAAGGCGACGAUCCGUAGCUGGUCUGAGAGGAUGAUCAGCCACACGGGAACUGAGACACGGUCCAGACUCCUACGGGAGGCAGCAGUGGGGAAUAUUGGGCAAUGGGCGCAAGCCUGAUCCAGCCAUACCGCGUGGGGGAAGAAGGCCUUCGGGUGGUAAAGCCCUGUUGUUGGGAAAGAAAAGCAGCAGGUUAAUACCCCGCGGUUCUGACGGUACCCAAAGAAUAAGCACCGGCUAACUUCGUG